rfam:Astyanax mexicanus chromosome 2, whole genome shotgun sequence.
GCCCGGAUAGCUCAGUCAGUAGACCAUCAGACUUUUAAUCUGAGGGUCCAGGGUUCGUGUCCCUGUUUGGGCG